rnacentral:rRNA from 1 species
UACAGAGGGUGCAAGCGUUGUUCGGAAUCAUUGGGCGUAAAGCGCACGUAGGCGGCUUUGCAAGUCGGGUGUGAAAGCCUGGGGCUCAACCCCAGAAGUGCAUUCGAAACUGCAGAGCUUGAGUCUUGGAGAGGGUGGUGGAAUUCCGAGUGUAGAGGUGAAAUUCGUAGAUAUUCGGAGGAACACCAGUGGCGAAGGCGACCACCUGGACAAAGACUGACGCUGAGGUGCGAAAGCGUGGGGAGCAAACAGG